UACGAAGGUGGCAAGCGUUGUUCGGAUUUACUGGGCGUAAAGGGAGCGUAGGUGGUUAGGUAAGCCCUCCGGGAAAUCUUCAGGCUUAACCUGAAAAGGUCGGGGGGGACUGCCUAGCUAGAGGGCGGGAGAGGAGCGCGGAAUUCCCGGUGUAGCGGUGAAAUGCGUAGAGAUCGGGAGGAAGGCCGGUGGCGAAGGCAGCGCUCUGGAACGUUUCUGACACUGAGGCUCGAAAGCGUGGGGAGCAAACAGG
rnacentral:rRNA from 1 species